rnacentral:rRNA from 1 species
UUGAACGCUGGCGGCAUGCUUUACACAUGCAGGUCGAACGGCAGCACGGGGGCAACCCUGGUGGCGAGUGGCGAACGGGUGAGUAACAUAUCGGAACGUACCCUGUCGUGGGGGAUAACACAGCGAAAGCUGUGCUAAUACCGCAUACGGCCUGAGGGUGAAAGCGGGGGAUCGCAAGACCUCGCGCGAUAGGAGCGGCCGAUAUCGGAUUAGCUUGUUGGUGAGGUAAAGGCUCACCAAGGCGACGAUCCGUAGCUGGUCUGAGAGGACGACCAGCCACACUGGAACUGAGACACGGUCCAGACUCCUACGGGAGGCAGCAGUGGGGAAUUUUGGACAAUGGGGGCAACCCUGAUCCAGCCAUUCCGCGUGAGUGAAGAAGGCCUUCGGGUUGUAAAGCUCUUUCAGCAGGAACGAAACGGUGGCUACUAAUACUAGCUACUAAUGACGGUACCUGAAGAAGAAGCACCGGCUAACUACGU